UAUUACAAUGAAGAGUUUGAUCCUGGCUCAGGAUGAACGCUAGCUACAGGCUUAACACAUGCAAGUCGAGGGGCAGCAUGGUCUUAGCUUGCUAAGGCCGAUGGCGACCGGCGCACGGGUGAGUAACACGUAUCCAACCUGCCGUCUACUCUUGGACAGCCUUCUGAAAGGAAGAUUAAUACAAGAUGGCAUCAUGAGUCCGCAUGUUCACAUGAUUAAAGGUAUUCCGGUAGACGAUGGGGAUGCGUUCCAUUAGAUAGUAGGCGGGGUAACGGCCCACCUAGUCUUCGAUGGAUAGGGGUUCUGAGAGGAAGGUCCCCCACAUUGGAACUGAGACACGGUCCAAACUCCUACGGGAGGCAGCAGUGAGGAAUAUUGGUCAAUGGGCGCAGGCCUGAACCAGCCAAGUAGCGUGAAGGAUGACUGCCCUAUGGGUUGUAAACUUCUUUUAUAAAGGAAUAAAGUCGGGUAUGGAUACCCGUUUGCAUGUACUUUAUGAAUAAGGAUCGGCUAACUCCGUGCCAGCAGCCGCGGUAAUACGGAGGAUCCGAGCGUUAUCCGGAUUUAUUGGGUUUAAAGGGAGCGUAGAUGGAUGUUUAAGUCAGUUGUGAAAGUUUGCGGCUCAACCGUAAAAUUGCAGUUGAUACUGGAUAUCUUGAGUGCAGUUGAGGCAGGCGGAAUUCGUGGUGUAGCGGUGAAAUGCUUAGAUAUCACGAAGAACUCCGAUUGCGAAGGCAGCCUGCUAAGCUGCAACUGACAUUGAGGCUCGAAAGUGUGGGUAUCAAACAGGAUUAGAUACCCUGGUAGUCCACACGGUAAACGAUGAAUACUCGCUGUUUGCGAUAUACGGCAAGCGGCCAAGCGAAAGCGUUAAGUAUUCCACCUGGGGAGUACGCCGGCAACGGUGAAACUCAAAGGAAUUGACGGGGGCCCGCACAAGCGGAGGAACAUGUGGUUUAAUUCGAUGAUACGCGAGGAACCUUACCCGGGCUUAAAUUGCAGAUGAAUUACGGUGAAAGCCGUAAGCCGCAAGGCAUCUGUGAAGGUGCUGCAUGGUUGUCGUCAGCUCGUGCCGUGAGGUGUCGGCUUAAGUGCCAUAACGAGCGCAACCCUUGUUGUCAGUUACUAACAGGUUCCGCUGAGGACUCUGACAAGACUGCCAUCGUAAGAUGUGAGGAAGGUGGGGAUGACGUCAAAUCAGCACGGCCCUUACGUCCGGGGCUACACACGUGUUACAAUGGGGGGUACAGAGGGCCGCUACCACGCGAGUGGAUGCCAAUCCCAAAAACCUCUCUCAGUUCGGACUGGAGUCUGCAACCCGACUCCACGAAGCUGGAUUCGCUAGUAAUCGCGCAUCAGCCACGGCGCGGUGAAUACGUUCCCGGGCCUUGUACACACCGCCCGUCAAGCCAUGGGAGCCGGGGGUACCUGAAGUGCGUAACCGCGAGGAGCGCCCUAGGGUAAAACUGGUGACUGGGGCUAAGUCGUAACAAGGUAGCCGUACCGGAAGGUGCGGCUGGAACACCUCCUUUCU
rnacentral:rRNA from 1 species